rnacentral:rRNA from 1 species
UACGUAGGGUGCAAGCGUUGUCCGGAAUUAUUGGGCGUAAAGAGCUCGUAGGCGGUUUGUCGCGUCGACUGUGAAAAUCCGAGGCUUAACCUCGGACCUGCAGUCGAUACGGGCUAGCUAGAGUGUGAGGGGAGAUGGAAUUCCUGGUGUAGCGGUGAAAUGCGCAGAUAUCAGGAGGAACACCGGUGGCGAAGGCGGGAUCUCUGGGCAACAACUGACGCUGAGGAGCGAAAGCGUGGGGAGCGAACAGG